rnacentral:misc_RNA from 1 species
UGGCUCUGGCAUCGAUGAAGAACGCAGCGAAAUGCGAUACGUAAUGUGAAUUGCAGAAUUCCGUGAAUCAUCGAAUCUUUGAACGCACAUUGCGCCCGCCAGUAUUCUGGCGGGCAUGCCUGUUCGAGCGUCAUUUCAACCCUCAGCACGCCCCCGCAAGGGGGAAGCUGGUGUUGGGGAUCAGCGUAAGCGCCGGGUGCUCGCCACCCUGCCCGCUGGCCCUUGAAUACAGUGGCGGUCUUGCCCUGGACUCCCUCGCGUAGUAACUCACCUCGCCCGCGGAAUCCUGGCCUGGCCACGCCGUAAAACCCCCUACUUUACCAUGGUUGACCUCGAAUCAGGUAGGAAUACCCGCUGA